rnacentral:rRNA from 1 species
UUGCCUCUUGGUCUGGGACAACUGUUGGAAACGACAGCUAAUACCGGAUAUUAUGAGAUUCUCGCAUGGGAAACUUAUGAAAGCUAUAUGCGCCAAGAGAGAGCCUUGCGUUCCAUUAGCUAGUUGGUGGGGUAACGGCCCACCAAGGCGACGAUGGAUAGCCGGCCUGAGAGGGUGAACGGCCACAAGGGGACUGAGACACGGCCCUUACUCCUACGGGAGGCAGCAAUGGGGAAUAUUGGACAAUGGGCCACAAGCCUGAUCCAGCAAUUCUGUGUGCACGAUGAAGGUCUUCGGAUUGUAAAGUGCUUUCAGUUGGGAAGAAGAAAGUGACGGUACCAACAGAAGAAGCGACGGCUAAAUACGUGCCAGCAGCCGCGGUAAUACGUAUGUCGCAAGCGUUAUCCGGAUUUAUUGGGCGUAAAGCGCGUCUAGGCGGAAAAAUAAGUCUGAUGUUAAAAUGCGGGGCUCAACUCCGUAUUGCGUUGGAAACUGUUUUUCUAGAGUACUGGAGAGGUGGGCGGAACUACAAGUGUAGAGGUGAAAUUCGUAGAUAUUUGUAGGAAUGCCGAUGGAGAAGUCAGCUCACUGGACAGAUACUGACGCUAAAGCGCGAAAGCGUGGGGA